ACCCACCAUCACCCUCCUCCACCCCUACCCCCACAUCCACUCGUCUUUCGUCCCCUUUUCUACUCACCUCUCUCAUCGAAACCCCAACGCACCUGCCCCCCUCAAGAACAACACACCAUUAACUCCAACAAAUUCACUUUUCAAUUCAAUCCAAUCCAAAACCACCAAUAGACCCCACAAUUCAUCAAACAAGAUUCACCCCACUAUCAAAUUCAUCGUUUUUCACUCAAUUCACCCUCAAAUUUCGAAACUUUUUGUUGUUUUCAUCACAACAACAACUAGAAUUCGAAAACCCAGUUGUUAUUUUUGUUAAUAAUGCGAGAAAAAUUGUGGGUUUUGUUAAUGGUGGGUUGUCUGAUCUGGGUUUCGUCUGUAGCUGUGAUUUGAUGUUUAUGGAAGACUAAUUUGAGAUAUUUAAUGGAGUUCAAGAUUGUUUUUUCUAGAAGGAAAUGUUGGACUGAGCUAUUAGUUCUACAGGUAAUCUGGGAUAAUCUGGGAUUUCGGUGUGGAGCGUUUGGAAGUUGCUGAUCAAGAUUCCUUAUUUCAGUAAUGUAAUAAAAUGUAGAGUAAAUUACAAGUUUUGUCCUUUAUGUUUACACCAAAUUGCAGGUGGUGUCCUUUGCCUUUAAAAUUGAUAGGUUUUGUACUUUAUGUUUUAAAAUCCUACACGUUAUGUCCUUUAGACCUAACUCAAUUUAUUUUUUCAGUUAAAUAAGAACAUGUGCAGGUCACAUGAGGAUAGAAAUGUCAUUUGUUAAUCCACUUAUCUUUUCCCCCAAUAUAAACAUCCUUGUCUUCAGCCUUCUCAAAUUCUGGCGAAACGCCGGCGACGGAGACCCCAUAACCACAGCUGGCGACUUCGAAGAUGAAAAUUCCUUCUUCGAUUUAGUCUUCACACACCCAACAGUCAACGUCAUUAGUGGCUUUCACAAUCACCACUAAUCACCAAUCUUCAAACUUGGAUGGCACUGAUUUAAAGUCAAAUCACAUUUAUUCUCCUCCCCUGUUUUUCAACAAUAAAGGAAAAUAUUACUACUAGACUCAACCACCUAUACAAACACCCCCAGGUCUCCCUUUCGAGUAUUCAUUAGUGGGUUUCAUAACCAUAAACCCAAAUCAGACAAGGAGGAGAUGAAAUGUGAAAUCGAAGAGGUCACCAUUAGCUCUCUGCUCAACAGAGAUAACAGUUAUGAUCAGUCACCGUCGAACUAGUUCUCCAAAGAGGUUGUUAACAAAUACUUGAAUCUUUUUAAACCCUUUUACAUCAAGGUUUCUAGAUGAAUAAAUCAGUUCCGCUUCUUGUUUCUAUCUGAAAAUAGAGGAGGGUUGUUGAUGGUAAUCACCGGCCGGAGAACGGCAACCACCCUCAGAAACCAAGCUCACAAGCCUCAUCCAACUUCUGUAAACAUAAUCCUAAUUUUCUCCCCCAAUUGGCAGGUCUGAUUUCAGUUUGGAGGGAAAUGUGAAAGACUAGGGUUUAGGAGGGUUUAUAUUGGGGGAAAAGAUAAGAUUAGCAAAUGACAUUUCUACCCUCAUGUGACCUGCACAUGUUCUUAUUUAACUGAAAAAAUAAAUUGGGUUAGGCAUAAAGGACAUAACGUGUAGGAUUUUGAAACAUAAAGUACAAAACCUAUCAAUUUUAAAGACAAAGGACACCGCCUGCAAUUUGGUGUAAACAUAAAGGACAAAAGUUGUAAUUUACUCUAAAAUGUAAUUAGGAUCUUUUAUUUAAUGUUCUGGAUUGGUGUUUAGUUUUGAUAUCUAUAAGAGUGACACGUCAGCCCUAGCGAGUUUGGGGUGUUA